rnacentral:misc_RNA from 1 species
GAUGAAGAACGUAGUGAAAUGCGAUAAUUAAUGUGAAUUGCAGAAUUCCGUGAAUCAUCGAGUCUUUGAACGCACAUUGCGCCUCAUGGCAUUCCGUGAGGCAUGCCCAUCUCAGCGUUAGAAAAUAUUCUCAAAUUGUAGUUUUGUGCUAAAAUUUGGAUCAUGUCAAGGAAGCUAUUACUAUUAUUGUGAUCGCUCUUUGGAAAUUGAUAGGUCUUUGAGUUGCUACUCAUAGAACGUGAUGAAUCUUUCUUCGUUCUAUUGUAAUUCACUCUGGUAGUCCUAAAACUUGUAUGCCUGUGGCAUAUCUUGUAAUUUGACCUGAGAUUGGGUAGGGAUACCCGCUGAACUUAAGCAUAUCAAUAAGCGGAGGA